ensembl:lncRNA
GGGUGCAGUGCCAGACCAAUUGUUGUAUGUUUGUUUGUAUUUUAUUUUGUUACAGAUAUUUCUUAAAUCUCACUUUACCUGGAAAAGCUCAACUCAUUUUGAAGACCUCUAUUCAGAAAAUAACUGCAACUAUCCAUCCAGGGAGGAAUCAUAGGAGCCCUGCGGUUUCUAUGAACUCAGAUGUUUUCUGGAUAUCAGCUGCGAAAAUCAUGCAUUCACAAGAAUUGAAGCUGCCUGACAAUCCCUGGAGAUGGCAGCAGAGGGGCAAUCUGACAAAUUGGUAUCUGAUGUGGAAGUGCAUAUGGAGCAGACUUGUCACUGAAUUCCUCUAUGUGGAAACAGUUCAAUUCAUCAACAUUCUUUGAUGCUUGCUAAAUGUUUAUGGAGACCAAACAGUGGAUGUUGGCACAGUGGGGUGGUGGGUGGUGAGUUUCAGCUGGGGUGACAGUGACAGGGGGUCACCUUUGCUGGUGCGAAUUUUUACAAGUGCGACAUGCAGGCUUGUUUAUCACUGUCAAAAAUAUGCAGC